rnacentral:rRNA from 1 species
UUGAACGCUGGCGGCAUGCCUUACACAUGCAAGUCGAACGGCAGCACGGGGGCAACCCUGGUGGCGAGUGGCGAACGGGUGAGUAAUACAUCGGAACGUGCCCUGAAGUGGGGGAUAACGUAGCGAAAGUUACGCUAAUACCGCAUAUUCUGUGAGCAGGAAAGCAGGGGAUCGCAAGACCUUGCGCUUUAGGAGCGGCCGAUGUCGGAUUAGCUAGUUGGUGAGGUAAAGGCUCACCAAGGCGACGAUCCGUAGCUGGUCUGAGAGGACGACCAGCCACACUGGAACUGAGACACGGUCCAGACUCCUACGGGAGGCAGCAGUGGGGAAUUUUGGACAAUGGGGGAAACCCUGAUCCAGCCAUUCCGCGUGAGUGAAGAAGGCCUUCGGGUUGUAAAGCUCUUUCGGCAGGAACGAAACGGUAAGGGCUAAUAUCCUUUGCUAAUGACGGUACCUGAAGAAGAAGCACCGGCUAACUACGU